rnacentral:rRNA from 1 species
AGAGUUUGAUCAUGGCUCAGGAUGAACGCUGGCGGCGUGCCUAACACAUGCAAGUCGAACGGACUUACAUUGAAGCCUAGCGAUAUGUAAGUUAGUGGCGGACGGGUGAGUAACGCGUGGGUAACCUGCCUUGUACUGGGGGACAACAGUUGGAAACGACUGCUAAUACCGCAUAAGCGCACAGCUUCGCAUGAAGCAGUGUGAAAAACUCCGGUGGUACAAGAUGGACCCGCGUCUGAUUAGCUGGUUGGUGAGGUAACGGCCCACCAAGGCGACGAUCAGUAGCCGGCCUGAGAGGGUGAACGGCCACGAUUGGGACUGAGACACGGCCCAAACUCCGUACGGGAGCA